CUACGGGACGCUCCAGCUGAGGAUCUUUUACAAUGCACGCAAGUGUGAUAAAGCGAGCCAGAGUGUUGUUCUUAGAACAACUUUUGUCUGCUGUAAAAAGGCAGACGAAUAAGGACUGGGCAAGACCGGUGCCAGCCGCCGCGGUAAUACCGGCGGUCCAAGUUGCAUCCAUUUUUAUUGGGUCUAAAACAUUCGUAGCUUGCUUUGUAAGUUUCUUGUGAAAUCUCAUGUCUCAAGCAUGAGGCUUGCAAGAAGUACUGCAUAGCUAGAGACCGGAAGACGUAAGGAGUAUGAUUGAGGUAGCGGUAAAAUGUGUUAAUCUUAAUCAGACUAACAAUGGCGAAGGCACCUUACGAGUACGGAUCUGACAGUGAGGGAUGAAGGCUAGGGGCGCAAAACGGAUUAGAUACCCUAGUAGUC
rnacentral:rRNA from 1 species